CGAGAUCUCUCAAACACUGGACUACCAAACAGGCAGCAUACACCAGCUGAUAUGAGGCCGCCAGCACACAUACAGUAGAGGAUUGCCGGGUCUGUGUUCAUUCAGAGACUAAUGAGCCAGUGUGGUGGGGAUUCCAAUCCAGUGCCUACCAGACAAUGUGAUCAGCAAAAGAAAGUUAAGAGCAAUGUGGAAUGAAGAUGGCCCUUGUCACUGAGUCGUGAUGUCUGAAGACACCUGCAAUGAUUCAAAGGGGCUUAGAGAGUCAUCCUGGAGCUCUGGAAGUGGAACAAGACACUAUCUCAACUCUAAUUAUAUGUUUCAUCAUCCAUAUGUCUUGAACCCAACCAAAGGACAAAAGCUGCCGAUCCCUGUUGUUGAAUUAGGGGAAAACUGGAAGAAGCUGAGGAGGAGGGAAACCCUGUAAGAGGACCAGCAGUCUCAACUAACCUGGAUUCCCGAGAU
rnacentral:lncRNA from 1 species